CCCAGAUCUCUCAUCUGGGGGGCGGGGGAGGCCGGGCCACUCUCCAGGGGGUGCCUCCAGGCAAUAAAUAUUUCAUAAGGGAGCAGACCUCGGCAGUAAAGAUUAAGGAGCUUCGCAUCCUCAGAGAGAAGAAAGAGCUGUUUGAUUCUGCGGGUCAGCUGUUGUGGCCCAGGCGUUGUCACACAGAAGAACAAGCUUCUUAGCUGAGGGCGGACAUGGAAAUCAUGGCUCCCGUAGACAUGACCUCUGAACAAAGGUGGCAAGCCCAGGUGGUCCAAGUCGGCCCUGGGUGUUGGUGGAUGGAGGUCUCCAUGGCGAUUCUUGGUGCUCCUGGGCUUGGAGAACUUGGAGAUCACGGCCUGGAAAGGCUAAGGUGACCAGCAGAUGUCCCAUGGAAUUGCAGGAUGUCAUUGGCAGCCUGGUCCCAUCAGGAAGUACUGUUAGCUUAGCUGAGACAUGCUGCUGGCUCCAGAGGAGCAGCAGUGACCAAACCCUGGAACUCCGCUGAGCAUCACCCCUGCAGAAGAUGGAGACAGGUCCCAGGUGCGGAGAGGCUGACCUGGCCUGGGACUACGGGAGGGUGACAGAAUGUGCACCAGCCGGGCCCCCACCCUCUCCUGCCCCACCCCCGCCCCUGCGUGUCUCCUGCUCCCUGAGCAGCCACGUGUCGUCUGCCCUGGAGCUGAGGCUGCUUCUCUUGGAAGCCGCAUUUCUCCCUGUGCACCUGCCUGGCGGACUGUUUCACAGACAAUUAACGUGCAGUCCGCAGCUGCAGCACCCACGGCCACGCGGGGCGGAGGGAGCUCACGCCCACCAGGGCCACCCGAACAGAUGGCCGCCCCAAAUGCCCGCUGCAAGUCCCCUUGUCCACAGCCUUCCAGCAAACGAUGUUUCGAGCCCAUGGGACAUUGUGCUUGGAAGCUCCAAGUCUCCUUGUCCAAGAUUAAGAGGUGAGGGCGUCGGGGGUUUCUGAGCGGCUGCUCCGGAAGGAGGGCCUUAGUGACGCAUGGAGGACACAGUGGGUGGCAGAAGAGCACGUUCUCACCUUGUCCCUGUUCAGACACUGCGUUUGCUGACAACCUGUGCGCCUGGCCUCCCUCCUGCAGCAGGGAGUAGCCAGAACCCCUGAGCUGGGCCCUGGUGGGACAGCCGCUGGCAGGAGCCUCCUUCCCGCCAGAGACAAAGGUGUGAGUGGGAGGCCGGACUGCCAGCCAGGGGCCUUGUCCUUUCAACUCCGGACCGAGCGAGCCUCCACUGCAGGCCGGGGCAAGGAGGAGCCCUCGGCUUAACUGUCCAGGCCUGGAGGCUGCCGGCAAAGCCUCCCGCAGAGGGGCUGGCGGGGCCGUGUCCGGGUGGGACAGCUCGGGCCUGCGUGCCAGGCGAUGGUUCCUGACGACCAGAGGCCGGCAAAGUUCCGUGGGUCCCACUUUCCUCGUGAAGGGAGGAGCCCCAGAGAGAGAGGGCCCAGCCCUUCACUCCAGCUGGCUCCCUGCAAAGCUGCCAUGCGGUGGUCGCUCCAGCACCGUGUUCCAGGCUGUGUCGGGCACGGUGGUGGUUUGUGGUUCGUCCUCAGGAUGGCAUCUGCUUCCCAGGUGGUGAACUGAGGUGCAGGGGGAUCUGCACCACAGGCAGGGGGCCAGGCCCAUCUCCUGUCCACGACCCCGAGCCUUGCGUGCCGGGCACCCACCCUCCGAGCCCACCGUCUCUGCAAACCUGCGUCCCCUCCAUUAUGCCCUGAGAACCUAGUCACUGCAUCUCGAGGUGGCUGGGCUGGUCAGGGAUCAACCUCGGGGCCCCCAUGCAGACCCCCAGCGGUGCUUUCCUGGGGACUCAGCCUGCUGGUGUGGACCAGCCUCCAAGACACCGCGACUGCUCGCCAUGGCAGUGCCAGCAGUGCUGUGACCUGUGACCCAGCCUGUGAGUCUGAGCCUGCACUGGGAGCUUGGCGAGGGGCAGUGCCCCCACAGCCACUCGGAUCUUAGGCCACAUCUGCCAGGCUCCUUACGGCAGGAGCUGGCGAACACACAGCCUUUGCGGUUCAGGUUCAGGGCAGGGGAGAGGGUGGGGCCGCAGCUGCUGGGGACCACAGCGCAGACAUCUGGGGCACUGCCACUGGCUGCCAGUGAGCGAGACUUCCCCAGUGUCCUCCAGACCCAUCUCGUGGGGGCAGGCUGCUGUGCUGGAGACCAGGGUGUGGGGACGUGCAUGAGUGAGUGUGUGUGUGUAUCUGCAAGGAUCUGGUCAGGUAGGCUCAGCGUGGUGCCCAGGCUGAGCCUCUGGGCUGGAUGGCCCACCCCAGGCCUGCGGAAGGUCCUGCCCGGUCAUGCUGGGCGUGGGGCUGGGGGGAGCACAUGGGGAGACAGUGGUAUGGGGGCUGGGAGUCCCGCACCCAGGUUGCCAGCAGCUUUUCACAGACCCCGUGUGGGCCAGCUGUGGAGCCAGAGCCUGGGCCGGUCUGGGGCCCAGAGGCUGGGGUGGGGCCUCUGGUGAUGCCUGGUGGGGUGUCUGGGAAGCGUGGGUGCCCAGUCCCUCCUCCCCUCGUCCCGUGGGCGAGGAAGCCAGGGGCUGCAGUGUGUCUCCGCCGGGCCAAUGCUGCAAACCUCAUUAUCUCAACCCCAUGGGGGUUGCUGGUGCCACGCGAAGGUCCCAAGUCUCCUCUGGCGACUCUGACCCCACGGAGGAGGGCGUGAAGCUGUCCCCAAGGGGCAGCCUCACACCAGAUCACGAUGUGGAAACGGCAGGGGGAAGCGACUCUGGGAGUGACACUGGAACCCGCAGUGGCUCAUCCUGUUUGCAAACCGUCCUUUACGAGUCAUCCCACAGAAGCCGAACGCUUGGGGCGAGGACCGAGUCAGUGAACUGCUGCUGCUGCGACAAUGACCACGCAUUUAGUGUCUUAAGCGACACAAAUUUAGUCGCAGUCCUCCCAGCUGAAAUCAAGGGGUCAGAGAGUGUCGGUUCCCUCUGGAGGCUCCGAGGGGCCUGUGUCGGUUCCCGGGCCUUUUCCUGCUCCUGGGGGCACCACGUUCCAUGGCUUGUGGCCUCUUUCCCCGUCUUUAGAGCCAGCAGCGUCCGGGCUCUCUGGUUCGCUCCCUCUCAGGUCAGCAUUAGCAACCUAAUUGGCCCGCAGGUUGCAGAGUUUGGGACGUCGCCAUCCUUGCAAGGGCCCUUCCUCUGCUCACUGUGGACCCCACGCCGCCAAGUGUGGAGCCACCGGGAUCUGCUCCCAGAAGGAGUGAGAAACCUCUGACCCUGAGCCCUGGUGCGUGCGGGGUGCCUCGCUUGCCGCGCCUGGCAGAGCUGCGCUCCAUCCAGGAGGCGGGAACACGCCGGGGGGACACUGUGCUGCCGGCGGAGUUUGGCCCCCACUGGCGGAAGUGGGGGAACUGCCGUGCAUGUGGAAGAAUCCACCCAGAACAGAGAGAGGGGCCGGCCAGACCCCUGCCGGGCUCCGGCCUCUGCCUGCGUGGGCUCCGAAGCCCAGGCCCCACGGGCGCCCCUGUCCUCGUCCCUCACGCUCCUUUCUGACCCACCUGCAGCAGCUUCGCGCUGAGGAUUAUGCCGUCCUAAAAAUGAAAACAUGCGAAGGGAGAGGACGCCCAAUGCGUCCUUGUGGUGGAGCAGCUUCGGGCUUAGGACAGCUGGUGCCGCGGCAUCUGUGGGCUCAGGUUCCGAGGCCGAGGUGCCCUACAUGUGAGUGUGCAGCCGCGACUCCGUCAGGGCCUUAAAAGAGAGUCCAGACGCUUUGUGCUGGCCUGACCCCGCUGCUGCCUGGAGGAGCGCGUCUUCUGGCUGCCCUGCCCAGGAGGCACAUGUGCGCACUCCCGGCCCGGCAAGGGUGCUGUCUUGGCUCCCGCCUCUGGACUCCACUGAGGAAGAGGCGCCGGCGCUUUGCCCACCAGCUGCAGGGCAGUUUGGAGCGUCACGUGGUGAGCGGACGGACGUGAAGGAUGUUUUUACAAACUGUGCGUUACACAAGUGCCAGCUAUUAUUCUGGGCACAGCACCCUUUGUCUGGAACCGGCUUCCCCUGGGAGACUCCCGGUGCGUCCCAGAGCCUCGGCGGCAGCGUAGCACAGCCCUGGACCCUGGCCCCGCACCUCCUCCCCGGGCCGCCCCCUCCGGGGGCUGUGCCCACACCUGCUGUGCAUUCGGACGCCUCUCCUCCCACCGCAGCCCGGACGCUGGGUAAAGCCCGGUUGACACUGACCAGAACCCAGUGUGACUGAGUGACCCGGGGCCCACCAGCCACUGGAGUCUGUCAAUUUGGGGAAUUAAUCUGUGGAAGAAUGAGCCAGAGGCAGGGGUCAGGCGGUAGGAGGCCGGCCCGCUUCGAGCUUGGCUCUCCGCGGGGGGCUAAUGAGACCCACGCCGGCGACUCCCUGCCCUUCCCGGCCAGGCCAACGGUGGCCGCUCCUUGUGAGCUGUCCUCUCGUUGUGCCAGGAUGGGAAGCCUCUCUGUGCCCGACGGGAAAGCUCCUAGGUCUUCAGCAAAUCUGAGCCGUGGUGCUGGGAGUGCCACCAGCAGGAUGGUUCCCUGGCUCGGUUUUCCUUCUAGAAAAUCUCUGUCCAAACACAGAAGCUACUCCUGGAGGAGCAGUGGGAAUGGAGGCCCCCCCCCAAGUGUGGGGCUGAGGGCCUCUGCCCUGGAGUCCAGUCCGUGGGCCCACAUCCACACAGCCCACCCUAAAUGGCAUCACCUGGCCUGUGUACGUUGGUGUGGAUAUGACACCAGCGUACAGGGCCCAGGUCAGUGUAGACGAGGUGGAGGUGACAGCGGGACAGUGAGAUGGGGGAGCUGCUUGUGCCUCACCGGCUCUGAGCAAUGCCUGGGCCUGGCCCUGCCGGCCGAGCUGGUGUGGGGCCCACCCUAGGUACCUGCUCUGUGUCACUCCACUCGCCCCUCAUUGCUCAAGGUGGGCAGGGCUUGACGGGCGGGGCCCUGGACCACCUGGGGGUGUAGAAACCGGGGUCUCUGUGGCUUGUCGUGGGACCCUAGGACAGUGUGACUUGCUCUAGCAGCAUCCGGCUGUGGCUUGCUGGUAGGACGCGCGUGUCCAGAGAGCCAAACUGAGGGAGAGGUGCACCUGCCUGGGGGAGGCUGGCGGCCGGCGGGCAGUGGGCAGUGAUGGAUGUGGCCGCUCUUCUGCCCCUGCAAGCAGACAGGCGUCUGAGAAACACAUGGCUCAGGCCCGGAGAUUGAUCAUCCAUCAGCCAAUUAGGAGCACGCCCUGAUGAGGCGGCGCCCAGGCCUGGACACUGCGCCUGCUGAUGAAAGAGCAGGUGACCGGGCAGCCGGCGCAAGCCCGCCCCUGCGGCUGCGGCGAGAGCAGCUCCAGACGGGGGCUCUGGGGACGCCAAGAACCAGGCUGGCACAGGGCCUGAAGGGGGUCCUGGGCCGGGAGAGUCGUGUUCCAGUUAGCAGCACCCCCUGGAAGACUUCUAGGAUUCUGGGGUCCAGUCGUAAUCCUCUGAAACAGUUUCGGGGAAUCACAGGUUCUCACUGCCCUUGCUGUGGAGGCGAGGAGAACGCACGGAGUUUCAUUUUGAAAACGGUCCUCGGCUUUUACUUCACACGCACAGCGCAGCAUCGGUCUACGCGGUGUCCGGAGCUGCACUGCCUCGUCGCAGCAUCGCCGUCAUCCGGGCGACCUUGAGCAAGUGCCUCAACCUUGCCCAGCCGAAGUCCCCUCUGUGACCUCCAUAUGCUUAGAGGUCGAUGUGUGAUUGUGUUGCAAACUCUAAAUCCAGAUACAAACACAGGCGAUUGCCAACAAUCCAUCGGACUUUUGAAAAAUGCCACCACUUUUUGCAGACUCUGCUCUCUCUUAAAAUCGGUCCGUGUGAAGCCUCUUUAAUUUUUUAAGCCAUCUCCCCUCCUCUCUGGGGGCUGAUGCUGCCCCUUCUGGGGCUCCAUGUGCCCUCUUUCCGGGGGCUCCAGGGGAGAACACACCUGCAGCUGAGCCUUUUCCAGCUUCUGGAGGCGCCUGCCUUCCUCGGCUGGCAGUGCCGUCCUGUGUCUCCGAGGCCGGCGGGGUGGACGGUCCCUGAGCUCCUCUACCGCCCCCUUUCCAGGUGACCCCCCGGGGUGCCCAGAGAGUCCCGGGCCGUCCGUGCUCCUCAGCACCCGAGCUCCCUGCCAGGUCCCUCGCCCCAGGAGCACAUCCCUGGGCUCCAGGACACAGACGUUGAGGGGCCCUCAUCACCAGCCCCAGAGGAAGGCGUGCAUGCGGCCCUCAGCAGGCCGUGUGGGGCCCGGGCCCUGCAGCCCCUGCUGUAGGAGUUUCCCUCGCUCAGAGGGGCUGCGAGGUGUCCUGCUUUCCGCCUGUGCCAGACGUAGAGGGUGGGGGCCGGCCAGGUUUGCCUGCACAUGGUGUCCCAGUGUGCAGCCACCAGCAGCGCCACCAGCUAGAGUUUGGUUUGGGCUCAAUGCAAACGGUUCCUCAGGGCAGCUCCCAAGCCAGUGACUGGCAGGUGCCCCCCUGGGUGCAGAGGCCAAGAACUCACCCCCCAGUUGGGGGAGAGAGACUGACGGGGACUGUGACGCGUCCAGAGGCCCGUUGGAGGUGGAGGGAGCCGUGAGCAGAGGGUCACGACCGCCUCUGGAAGCUGGAAAAGGCACAGGUUGCCGUGGAGGGUCCACAGGGAACCCGCCCCGGAGACACUUUUCAGACCUGUGACCCGCGGAGCGGAGGUGGGGAGCCGGGGCUGUGCUGAAGCUGAGUGUGGCAGCUGGUUCCAGGGCCCCAGAGCUACUGCCCCGCGGCUUCUGACCCAGAGCUUUGCAGGCGGGGCCUGACCCCGUGCUCUCCCACACGCCUGGGCCCGAGCACCAGCUCCGAGAGCAGCCGCUGCGGAAACCGGAAACCAGCUCAAGUCCGAAGGGGCAGAGGGAGGGCCGCAGGCGAGAGCAGGGCCCAGGCUGGCGGGGCGGACGCUGGCACGGAAACAGGGACAAUCGGGAUGCUUGAAAUUGCGCAGGGGGACAUGAGGGCCCUGCCGCAUGUCUAAUUUGAAAAACUAAGUCAGAUUGUUGAGCCACUUGAUCCUUUCCAGGUACGAAACCGCUUGGUCAGUGUGGGAUGAGCGGCAGCUUCAGCCGCCGUGUCUAGACCCACCUCUGAAGAGCCAGGUGGCAGAACUCGGACCUCGGUCCCUCCACGUGGCACCUUCUCACUGCUUUUAUCCCCUCCCCCGCACCCAUAUCCUACCUCUCCUUCGUCCCAAGUGUGAAGAUCUUUUUGGGGACACUUGUGUCCAGAGAAGCCCCUUCCCCAUCACAGGCCCAGGACUCAGUCCUAUCAGCACCACUCAGCCUUUUCUGACUGCAUAAGAGAGGCGAGGGGCUCUGGGCGGGCCCUGAAAAGCCACGAGGGGCUCCCCCUUCCCCGGAGGCCACGUGGUCCUGGAACCCCCCCUUCCCCUGGAGGCCGCGUGGUCCUGGGACCCCCCCCUUUCCCCUGGACACCGCGUGGUCCUGGGACCCCCCCCUUCUCCUGGAGGCAGCGUGGUCCUGGAACCCCCCCUCCAUAUGUGUCAGGCUCGGCUGUGAGAGGACUGUGGGGGGCAGAGAAGACCUCGGGAAACUCUUACGGCCUCUCUGUUCUUGAGGCAGCUAAGGGGACAAGACCAGGCCAUGUGGGUGAUGUGCCCGCAUGGCAUCCAUAGCGCGUGUUCAGCCUUCAUCCGUCACCGUCAGGGCAGUCAGCACGGCUGCGGGUGCUGGGGUCCCUCCCGGAGCACUUGCUCUGCCCGCACAGGGCUCAGCCUCCCCGCAUUCCGCGCGAGGCCUGUCAUCCCAGAUGGAUGCCUGGACUUCCCAGGGGGACCCGGGUGGGAAGAUUCUUCUUUUGAAAUGAAUAUGCAAGUUCUUAGAAGGUGGUACUAAAUUAGCACCAGCUUUAUCUUGGCUGUAAGUUGAUUUCUCAUUCUUUGGGUUUAAGAUUCCAUCCCAAGCCUAUAAUUACUUCCCUGAAAUAGGCUUUUAUACCCUAAAUGGCCAGACAUUGUGUCCCCGGUCCUUUAUCUUGAUUAGAAAUGGAUCCCAUGUUUUAGUAAGUUUGUCGGGCAGCGCCUCACCCACUGAAGCAGCAGGUGUGGCCAUAAGCCCUUGGUUCCCGAAAUAGCCUCCCCCUCCCUCUCCCCCACCCACCGCACCGCUGUGUGUUCAGUCUCAAGGGGACCCAUGUGCAGUUGCAGAGCUGAGUCUUUGUCCCUCUCUUUGCUCGUCUGACAGUGUGUCUCUGUGGACUCAGGAGCAGAGCCGCGAGGCCUGGCUGGAGAGUCAGAGGAGACGCACACGCGUAGGAGGAGAGGCACUGCCUGAGGCCUGGGGAUGCGGCCACGCAGCAGCAAACGGGAAGGAGGCCCCAUUUCCACAGCACCUGGGUGCUCAGUCCUGAUCACACCCACUUCUAGGCGUGUGAUGUCAGCUAGGCCUGCACGUUGCUUUGAAAGAAGCCCACGCCCCCGUGGGGUGAGCAGACCCCUCCUGGGGUGAAGAUGCUUCUCUGGACAAGCGACAUGUUCUGUGCCUGGAAGGUCCCAGCAGGACACGUGAGUGCGGCUAAGGGAGACCCCAGCCUUCUCCUCUGAUGUGGUUUCCCAGCCCAGGGGUUUUGAGGGGGCAUCUGUCCUGGGCAGCCUCCAGAAGAUGCACCCCCGCGUCAGUGAGGGUAAGCUAGGCCCUCACUGUGGCUUCCAUGUCAUGGGCUCCAGAAUAUGACCUUGGAUGAAUAAAGAUGUCUAUG
rnacentral:lncRNA from 1 species